CCCUUAGAUGUUCUGGGCUGCACGCGCGCUACACUGAUGCACUCAACGAGUUUACGACCUUGCCCGAUAGGGUUGGGUAAUCUUUUUAAAAUGCAUCGUGAUGGAGAUAGAUUAUUGCAAUUAUUAAUCUUCAACGAGGAAUUCCUAGUAAGCGCGAGUCAUCAGCUCGUGCUGAUUACGUCCCUGCCCUUUGUACACACCGCCCGUCGCUCCUACCGAUUGAGUGCUCAGGUGAAUAAUUCGGACUGCAGCAAUGUUUGGAUCCCGAACGUUGCAGCGGAAAGUUUAGUGAACCUUAUCACUUAGAGGAAGGAGAAGUCGUAACA
rnacentral:rRNA from 1 species